CUGGACAAAUCCAGUACAGACAAGAAUAACUACAGCCAGAACAAUUAGUAGUGUUAUUGCAUUUACUUUAUUUGUCUUUGCAGAUAUAAGGGAGGAAGAGAAGGACAUUGGGGCCAAAAGAGGUUUAACCAAGUUGUUCCACUCUGUUGAAUCCUGUGAGCACAUGUGAUUGACAGUAGUGUUGUGAGUAUGUGAUCUGUCCAUCUGAAAUGUUAAACUAAAGCUAAGUUAAUGUUGUAAUUUGACAUGUAUUGUUUUUAAAUGUGUAUCUAUGGACUUUGUGAUUGGAUGCAUGUCUUGUAAAUGAAGUGUUUUGCUAUUAAAAGACUCGAACCUUCUUCUUCCGUA